UACGCUCUGCCCAACCUCUCAAGAUUCUGGGACAUGGCUCUCUCUCUUGCUCUAUCUUGCCAUCUUCUGUCUCUCAAAGUCAACACGUGAUGUAUUUAUGCUUUUUUUUCCCCCUUCUGUUGGCUUGAAGUGGAUGUUCCCAGCAACAUUCCUCCCUGUGAUUGGCAGCCAUACCAAGAGAAAGGGGGAUGAAAGAACGGCUAAUGAAGGCUUUGAAAAUUCCAAACAGACCGGAACUAUCAAAAGUGGACUGAAAGACGUCAAUCUCCAGUCAGUGUACAUACUCAUACAGCGACAGUCUGUCUGCUGGGAUGGGGUCCCUUCUUGGCUCCUACGCAGA